rnacentral:rRNA from 1 species
CCUACGGGGGGCAGCAGUGAGGAAUAUUGGUCAAUGGACGAGAGUCUGAACCAGCCAAGUAGCGUGAAGGAUGACUGCCCUAUGGGUUGUAAACUUCUUUUAUAUGGGAAUAAAAUGUUCCACGUGUGGGAUUUUGUAUGUACCAUAUGAAUAAGGAUCGGCUAACUCCGUGCCAGCAGCCGCGGUAAUACGGAGGAUCCGAGCGUUAUCCGGAUUUAUUGGGUUUAAGGGAGCGUAGGUGGAUUGUUAAGUCAGUUGUGAAAGUUUGCGGCUCAACCGUAAAAUCGCAGUUGAAACUGGCAGUCUUGAGUACAGUAGAGGUGAGCGGAAUGCGUGGUGUAGCGGUGAAAUGCUUAGAUAUCACGAAGAACUCCGAUUGCGAAGGCAGUUCACUGGACUGCAACUGACACUGAGGCUCGAAAGUGUGGGUAUCAAACAGGAUUAGAUACCCGAGUAGUC